UACGUAGGGUGCAAGCGUUGUUCGGAAUCACUGGGCGUAAAGGGCGCGUAGGCGGGCAUGAAAGUCGAUUGUGAAAGCCCCGGGCUCAACCUGGGAAUUGCAGUCGAAACUCCAUGUCUUGAGUGCUUGAGAGGAUGGUGGAAUUCCUGGUGUAGAAGUGAAAUUCGUAGAUAUCAGGAGGAACACCGGAGGCGAAGGCGGCCAUCUGGCAAGACACUGACGCUGAGGCGCGAAAGUGCGGGGAG
rnacentral:rRNA from 1 species